GACGAACGCUGGCGGCGUGCUUAACACAUGCAAGUCGAACGAUGAUGCUGGAGCUUGCUCCAGUUGAUUAGUGGCGAACGGGUGAGUAACACGUGAGCAAUCUACCCUUGACUCUGGGAUAACUGCGGGAAACUGUAGCUAAUACCGGAUACUUUCACCGGAAGGCAUCUUCUGGUGAUGAAAGAAUUUCGGUCAGGGAUGAGCUAGCGGCCUAUCAGCUUGUUGGUGAGGUAACGGCUCACCAAGGCGACGACGGGUAGCCGGCCUGAGAGGGUGACCGGCCACACUGGGACUGUGACACGGCCCAGACUCCUACGGUGGGCAGCAGUGGGGAAUAUUGCACAAUGGGCGCAAGCCGGAUGCAGCAACGCCGCGUGAGGGAUGAAGGCCUUCGGUUUGUAAACCUCUUUUAGCAGGGAAGAAGCGAAAGUGACGGUACCUGCAGAAAAAGCACCGGCUAACUACGUGCCAGCCGCCGCAGUAA
rnacentral:rRNA from 1 species